rnacentral:rRNA from 1 species
AUGAACGCUGGCGGCGUGCCUAAUACAUGCAAGUCGAACGCUUUGUGGUUCAACUGAUUUGAAGAGCUUGCUCAGAUAUGACGAUGGACAUUGCAAAGAGUGGCGAACGGGUGAGUAACACGUGGGAAACCUACCUCUUAGCAGGGGAUAACAUUUGGAAACAGAUGCUAAUACCGUAUAACAAUGACAACCGCAUGGUUAUUAUUUCAAAGAUGGUUCUGCUAUCACUAAGAGAUGGUCCCGCGGUGCAUUAGCUAGUUGGUAAGGUAAUGGCUUACCAAGGCGAUGAUGCAUAGCCGAGUUGAGAGACUGAUCGGCCACAAUGGGACUGAGACACGGCCCAUACUCCUACGGGAGGCAGCAGUAGGGAAUCUUCCACAAUGGGCGAAAGCCUGAUGGAGCAACGCCGCGUGUGUGAUGAAGGGUUUCGGCUCGUAAAACACUGUUGUAAGAGAAGAAUGACAUUGAGAGUAACUGUUCAAUGUGUGACGGUAUCUUACCAGAAAGGAACGGCUAAAUACGUGCCAGCAGCCGCGGUAAUACGUAUGUUCCAAGCGUUAUCCGGAUUUAUUGGGCGUAAAGCGAGCGCAGACGGUUAUUUAAGUCUGAAGUGAAAGCCCUCAGCUCAACUGAGGAAUUGCUUUGGAAACUGGAUGACUUGAGUGCAGUAGAGGAAAGUGGAACUCCAUGUGUAGCGGUGAAAUGCGUAGAUAUAUGGAAGAACACCAGUGGCGAAGGGCGGCUUUCUGGACUGUAACUGACGUUGAGGCUCGAAAGUGUGGGUAGCAAACAGGAUUAGAUACCCUGGUAGUCCACACCGUAAACGAUGAGUGCUAGGUGUUUGAGGGUUUCCGCCCUUAAGUGCCGCAGCUAACGCAUUAAGCACUCCGCCUGGGGAGUACGACCGCAAGGUUGAAACUCAAAGGAAUUGACGGGGACCCGCACAAGCGGUGGAGCAUGUGGUUUAAUUCGAAGCAACGCGAAGAACCUUACCAGGUCUUGACAUCCCUUGACAACUCCAGAGAUGGAGCGUUCCCUUCGGGGACAAGGUGACAGGUGGUGCAUGGUUGUCGUCAGCUCGUGUCGUGAGAUGUUGGGUUAAGUCCCGCAACGAGCGCAACCCUUAUUACUAGUUGCCAGCAUUUAGUUGGGCACUCUAGUGAGACUGCCGGUGACAAACCGGAGGAAGGUGGGGAUGACGUCAAAUCAUCAUGCCCCUUAUGACCUGGGCUACACACGUGCUACAAUGGCGUAUACAACGAGUUGCCAACCCGCGAGGGUGGGCUAAUCUCUUAAAGUACGUCUCAGUUCGGAUUGUAGGCUGCAACUCGCCUACAUGAAGUCGGAAUCGCUAGUAAUCGCGGAUCAGCACGCCGCGGUGAAUACGUUCCCGGGUCUUGUACUCACCGC